rnacentral:rRNA from 1 species
CAGCAGCCGCGGUAAUACCGGCGGCCCGAGUGGCGGUCACUAUUAUUGGGCUUAAAGCGUCCGUAGCCGGGUUGGGAAGUCCUCCGGGAAAUCUGGCCGCUUAACGGUCAGAAUGCCGGAGGAUACUCCCAGCCUAGGGAGCGGGAGAGGCCGAGGGGAUUCCCGGGGUAGGGGUGAAAUCCUAUAAUCCCGGGAGGACCACCUGUGGCGAAGGCGCUCGGCUGGAACGCGUCCGACGGGGAGGGACGAAGGCCAGGGGAGCAAACCGGAUUAGAUACCCGGGUAGUCCUGGCUGUAAACGAUGCGGACUUUGUGUCGGACAAGCUAUGAGCUUGUCCGGUGCCGGAGGGAAACCGUUAAGUCCGCCGCCUGGGGAGUACGGCCGCAAGGCUGAAACUUAAAGGAAUUGGCGGG